rnacentral:rRNA from 1 species
AUGGCCACGGCGGCGCUCCGCUUCCCGCCGUUCCUCUCCUCGCGCGCCGCGCCUACCACCACCGCCGCCACCUGCACCCGGAGGACGGCGCCAGCCACCCUCAGGGUCGCCGCGCUGCCGGACUCCGCCUCCGCCCCAACCUCUACCUCUGAAGAGCGGCCGGAGUUCUCGCCGUCGGCAGGGUUCGCGCCUCCGGUGCCCAAGCGCUUCGCGGUCAAGGAUGGCCAGCUCGGCAGCGUCGCCGGCGCGGCCCUCGCGCUGCCUUUUCGCCUCGGCACCGGCCUCUUCGUCCUAGGAUACUCGGUAUCACUAGUCUCCGCUGAUAAAAUACCCUCAGACCAAUAUUCUCUGGGAUUUCUUGGUCUGAAGGUGAAGGAGACCUCAAAGAUAGAUCAGUGCCGUCGACCAGAAAAACCUAUUGAGAUAUACGAGUUUGAAGGCUGUCCAUUUUGUCGAAAGGUGAGAGAGAUGGUAUCUGUCUUGGACCUUGAUGUUUUAUUUUACCCCUGUCCUCAAAAGGGGCCAACAUUUCGUCCAAAGGUUUUAGAGAUGGGUGGGAAGAAACAGUUCCCUUACAUGGUGGAUCCAAACACAGGAGUUGCCAUGUAUGAAUCAGAUGCCAUUAUAAAAUACCUUGCAGACACAUACGGUGAUGGAACUGUCCCGAUUAUGCUAUCGCUUGGUCUAUUUACGACAAUAACAGCAGGGCUUGCUAUGAUUUGGCGUGUAUGGAAGGGAUCUUCCUACACUGUUUCAAAGCUUCCACCCCAGCCGAUAGAGAUCUGGGCAUACGAGGGAUCUCCUUUCUGUAAAUUAGCACGAGAGGCCCUUGUUGAAUUGGAGUUGCCACACUUGCUACACAGCUGUGCUCGUGGCAACCCCAAGCGACAGGAAAUUUUCAAGAAACAUGGCAUUUUCCAGGCGCCUUAUAUUGAGGAUCCUAACACGGGGGUGAAGAUGUUCGAAAGCGCUGAGAUCAUAGAGUACCUAAGGGCAACAUAUUCCCUCUAUCCUCAGUACCAAAAUCUCUGA